GUCUAACAAUCGGACAGAAAAUGCACUUGUGUAAACAGUCCCCGAACGGUCCUCCAUACGUCACGUAGCGACAUUAUAAUUACAUAAAUCAAAAGACCCGAUAAACCAACAUGCCUGAUGCGCGUGCGCCGAAAGCUGGGCACGAAGAAGCCAGUUAGCAAUUAGCAACUUAGCUUCCACGGCUUCUCGCAGGCACCGUGGAAGAGGGGAGGAGGCGAAGCGUGUGCAGCAGCAGUACCCCGGGUGACCAGUUGACGCUAAUCGGGGAUCCGACGGGUCACGCCACUACACUAUUUAAAACUUUAAAUAUAUUAAACAUUUUAAUAUUUUAAAAACAAUUUAAACUGGACUAAUGCUCUAAUGGUCAUUUUAGAGAAUUAGUAUAUUAAAAAACAGAUUAAUACUAUACAUUUGCAGACAUUUAUCUUUAGUUUUACGAACCUAGUUGGUUUUUAUGUGUUACAACUUUGUUAUUGUGAGCUACACUACUGUCCAGAUCCCUCAGAAGGACUGAGUGUUGAAGACAUGGAAGAAAGCAGUUGAUGAUUCAGGUGGAAGUACUGAAAAAAGACCCAGAUCACAAGCAGAUAGAUGAGUUAAUGUCUGCCACGUUUUCCAAGCGCAGAAAGGAGAUUGUGGGGAUCAACCUCUCAUCGGGGAUGUUAUGGCAAAAUGGCCGGCCAUGUUCUGUGAGAGACAGAGAGCAUGGCUGAUGCUGUUUUUGU